rnacentral:rRNA from 1 species
UACGUAGGUGGCAAGCGUUGUCCGGAUUUAUUGGGCGUAAAGCGAGCGCAGGCGGAAAGAUAAGUCUGAUGUGAAAGCCCCCGGCUUAACCGAGGAAUUGCAUCGGAAACUGUGUUUCUUGAGUGCAGAAGAGGAGAGUGGAACUCCAUGUGUAGCGGUGAAAUGCUUAGAGAUCAUACAGAACACCGAUUGCGAAGGCAGCUUACCAAGCUACUUCUGACGUUGAGGCACGAAAGCGUGGGGAGCAAACAGG